rnacentral:rRNA from 1 species
AUUGAACGCUGGCGGCAGGCCUAACACAUGCAAGUCGAACGAGUGGCGGACGGGUGAGUAAUGUCUGGGAAACUGCCCGAUGGAGGGGGAUAACUACUGGAAACGGUAGCUAAUACCGCAUACCAUCGGAUGUGCCCAGAUGGGAUUAGCUUGUAGGUGAGGUAACGGCUCACCUAGGCGACGCUCCCUAGCUGGGCUGAGAGGAUGACCAGACACAGUGGAAAUGAGACACGGUGCAGACGCCUACGGGAGGGAGAAGUGGGGAAUAUGGAACAAUGGGUGUAAGCCUGAUGCAGCCAUGCCGCGGGUAGGAAGAAGGCCUGCGGGUUGUAAAGUACUUUCAGCGGGGAGGCGUUACCCGCAGAAGAAGCACCGGCUAACUCCGGGCCAGCAGCCGCGGUAAUAC